UAUAUAUAUAUAUUUCAGUCAGUCAUCAUUGCAAUCGAUAAAACGAGGGUCGUAAGGAUUUUAACAUCCCAACAUUACGAGCAGGAUCUUUACCACUGAGCCAUGGGAAGUAGUUUAGAAAAUGUAAAUACAUCAAAUUCAUUCACAUUAUCACAUUUGGCAGACACUUGGCAGGUAAGCAAGAAUGGUAGUAAAAAAAAAAAAAAAAGUAAGUAAGAGAGAAAGAAAGUAUGUAAGGUAAGUAAGUAGGCAAGUUAAAAAGUAAGUACGUAAGGUAAGUAAGUUAGAAAGAAAGAAAGUAUGUAAGGUAAGUAAGUUAGAAAGAAAGAAAGUAUGUAAGGUAAGUAAGUUAGAAAGAAAGAAAGAAAGAAAGAAAAAGUAUGUUAAGGUAAGUAAGUUAGAAAGAAAGAAAUUAAGUAAGUAAGUAAGGUAAGUAAGUAGGCAAGUUAAAAAGUAAGUAAGUAAGUAAGGGAAGUACGUUAGAAAGAAGUAUGUAAGUAAGGUAAUUAAGUUAGAAAGAAAGAAAGUAAGUAAGGUAAGUAAGUUAGCAGAGAAGAAAGAAAGAAGUAUGUAAGGUAAGUAAGUUAGAAAGAAAGAAAGUAAGUAAGGUAAGUAAGUUAGAAAGAAAGAAAGAAAGUAAGGUAAGUAAGUUAGAAAGAAAGUAAGUAAGUAAGGUAAGUAAGUUAGAAAGA
ensembl:lncRNA